GGAUACUUAUAAUCUUUACAUAGGCUGCUCCUUAAUAUGAAUGAAAGAAGACUCUCUAUAAUAACUAACAAGGGCUGGGCUGCCUAUGAAAUAUAUAGAGCUCUAUGACUCAACUCAAAUCAAUAAGAAUGGAGAAAUUUUGACUCGUCUCAUCAUUCUCGUCUUUCAGUUCAUAUUCUAUAGUGCCAGCGGAGAAGUCACCCAACUCUUUCAGGAAAAGGUUCUAUAUAAGCCGCUAAGGCAUUAUGUAUGACUCAAAUAGUAAAUCUUUCCUCAAUCCACUCAGGCGGAACCCUCGCAUUCUCUCUUAGAGACUCUAUCAUGAAAGAAAGGGAAGCCAACUAACUCAUAGACGCCC
rnacentral:lncRNA from 1 species